GCACUCACUUCGGCAGCAUAGACUAAAACUGGAACGAUACAGAGAUUAGCAUGGCUCCUGUGCAAGGAUGACAUGCAAAUUUAUGAAGCGUUCUGUAUUUUU